UUUCAUCACAGAUUGGAGAGAUGCAGGCUCCUGCUGGGAGCACACGCUCUUGCGGACAGGUGUGGGUCGUGGUGCGCGGACAGGCUGCUUUACAGGAAUCUCGAGGGGGGACGGGGUUCUUGUGAGGCAGGCCCAGGUGUGCAGCCCCGGGCUCCAGACGGCAGUGCCGGGCACAGCGCUCCUGCACACGGCCCGCUGCCCCCACCCUGGAUUGCGGUGUGGUGGGCACGGUCUCUGCACACGGCCCUCCCAGGUGAGGUGUCGGGGCAGCCGUUUUACAAGAGGAACUCUGAUGUCAAGUGGCAGGUGUGAGGCCUCAGCACACAGCACCCGGUGAGCCAGUGAGAGAGACUACACACAAGGAAAAGAAGAAGAUUAUCUGCUGGCCUGAAUUGCCCUUGGAAUUCCAAGCUCACACCUGGGUAUCCUGGACUAGGGAAUGGACCCAGACCAGCUCGCCUUGUGGCUGAGUUGGUAAAGAAUUCACCUGCAAUGCGGGAGACCGCCUGCAAUACGGGAGACCUGGGUUCAAUCCCUGGGUCAGGAAGUCACCCUGGAGAAGGAAAGGGCCACCCACUCCAGUAUCCUUGCCUGGAAAAUCCCAUGGACAGAGGAGCCUGGAGAGAUGACUAAACUGCUGGAGGCCUCCAGGAGCCUUGAUUCCUGUAAGGCAGCACAUAUUGAGUCCAGCCUUGGCAGGCAAACCCUGAUAGGCUUCUGCACCCCCAGACUGGGUGGCUGUACGUGCACAUGGAUUGCCAAGCACCCGUUUGCCCCCUGUGGGUC
ensembl:lncRNA